rnacentral:rRNA from 1 species
GAUGAACGCUGGCGGCGUGCCUAAUACAUGCAAGUCGAGCGAACGGACGAGAAGCUUGCUUCUCUGAUGUUAGCGGCGGACGGGUGAGUAACACGUGGAUAACCUACCUAUAAGACUGGGAUAACUUCGGGAAACCUUAGCUAAUACCGGAUAAUAUUUUGAACCGCAUGGUUCAAAAGUGAAAGACGGUCUUGCUGUCACUUAUAGAUGGAUCCGCGCUGCAUUAGCAAGUUGGUAAGGUAACGGCUUACCAAGGCAACGAUGCAUAGCCGACCUGAGAGGGUGAUCGGCCACACUGGAACUGAGACACGGUCCAGACUCCUACGGGAGGCAGCAGUAGGGAAUCUUCCGCAAUGGGCGAAAGCCUGACGGAGCAACGCCGCGUGAGUGAUGAAGGUCUUCGGAUCGUAAAACUCUGUUAUUAGGGAAGAACAUAUGUGUAAGUAACUGUGCACAUCUUGACGGUACCUAAUCAGAAAGCCACGGCUAACUACGUG